rnacentral:misc_RNA from 1 species
UGGGCGCGAAUAUGAUUAACA